CCCCCAGUCCGGGCGCGCCCCCUCGCCUAGCGGGCGCCCACCCGGCCCUGGCAACCCCCCUGCCGGCCGUCCCUGCGCCCAGAAGGGGAUGUAGGCUUGCAAGGCUGAAGCAGGGGAAGGUUAUAUGUGUACACACAGACACACAUACACACACACACACACACCACAACACAACACGACGCGUCGAUUUCCUUCGCUCCUCUUCCAGCUGUUUUCCGUGCCGCCGAUUGGGGUUUGGGAUCCGGAAAUCUGCUCUGGGUCUGGAUCUGCCCAGCUCCGACCCGGGUAGACGACCCGCGCACCUCUCUCGCCGCCCAUUCAGGAUCACUAAUUUCAUCGGAAAUGAGGUAACCAGUGCAGGAGACAGAGAAAGCAAAUCGAGCAUCAAAUGGCAGUUCUCGUGA
rnacentral:lncRNA from 9 species